rnacentral:rRNA from 1 species
GACGAACGCUGGCGGCGUGCCUAAUACAUGCAAGUAGAACGCACAGUUUAUACCGUAGCUUGCUACACCAUAGACUGUGAGUUGCGAACGGGUGAGUAACGCGUAGGUAACCUGCCUGGUAGCGGGGGAUAACUAUUGGAAACGAUAGCUAAUACCGCAUAAUAUUGAUUAUUGCAUGAUAAUUGAUUGAAAGAUGCUAUUGCAUCACUACCAGAUGGACCCGCGUUGUAUUAGCUAGUAGGUGAGGUAACGGCUCACCUAGGCGACGAUACAUAGCCGACCUGAGAGGGUGAUCGGCCACACUGGGACUGAGACACGGCCCAGACUCCUACGGGAGGCAGCAGUAGGGAAUCUUCGGCAAUAGACGAAAGUCUGACCGAGCAACGCCGCGUGAGUGAAGAAGGUUUUCGGAUCGUAAAGCUCUGUUGUAAGAGAAGAACGGGUGUGAGAGUGGAAAGUUCACACUGUGACGGUAUCUUACCAGAAAGGGACGGCUAACUACGUG